rnacentral:rRNA from 1 species
CAGUCGCCGCGGGAACACAGAGGGUGCGAGCGUUAAUCGGAUUUACUGGGCGUAAAGCGUGCGUAGGCGGCUUCUUAAGUCGGAUGUGAAAUCCCUGAGCUUAACUUAGGAAUUGCAUUCGAUACUGGGAAGCUAGAGUAUGGGAGAGGAUGGUAGAAUUCCAGGUGUAGCGGUGAAAUGCGUAGAGAUCUGGAGGAAUACCGAUGGCGAAGGCAGCCAUCUGGCCUAAUACUGACGCUGAGGUACGAAAGCAUGGGGAGCAAACAGGAUUAGAUACCCCCGUAGUCCCUGUCUCUUAUAC